GCGUCUAUAUACGUAUAGCAUAUCAAUAAGCGGAGGAAAAGAAACUAACAAGGAUUCCCUUAGUAACGGCGAGUGAAGCGGGAAGAGCUCAAAUUUGAAAUCUUCAAGGUUCUACCUUGACGAAUUGUAGUUUAUAGAAGUGUUUUCUGUUAGUGGAGUGGCAAAAGUUCUUUGGAAUAGGACAUCAUAGAGGGUGAGAAUCCCGUAUUUGGUCAUUCCUCCUAGCGUUGUGAUACACUUUCAACGAGUCGGAUUGUUUGGGAAUGCAGUCCAAAAUGGGUGGUAAAUUUCAUCUAAAGCUAAAUAUUGGCGAGAGACCGAUAGCGAACAAGUACCGUGAGGGAAAGAUGAAAAGAACUUUGAAAAGAGAGUUAAACAGUACGUGAAAUUGUCAAAAGGGAAGCGUUUGACACCAGUGUUGUUUUUCCGAAAAUCAAUUACGAAUGUUUUAUUUUUGAGGAGUUAUGACUUCAUCGGCUUGCUCCUUUCUUUAUCGAAACUUUCUUAAUGCACUUUUCGGUUAACAAGUCAACAUCAAUUUCUUUUGUUGUAAAAGGGUAUGAGGAAGGUGGCUUUCUUUUCGGAGAAAGUGUUUAUAGCCUUGUGCCUCCGCAAUCGGAGAGAUUGAGGUCUGCAGCGUAGAUCCUUCGGGGUUAGAUACAUUUGUGCUAAGUUAUAGCUUUUCAUAGACAACUUGUUGACUAUGUUUAGUCUUGUAGCUUACUCGCUUACUGCUAUUUUACCUACGCUUAGGAUGUUGACUGAUAUGUAGUCGUA
rnacentral:rRNA from 1 species